GCUUUAGUAGUGUAGUAGUCAACACGCUCGGAGCGUAUCGAGAGGUCCGUGGUUCGAGUCCCGCCUAAAGCA
rnacentral:tRNA from 1 species